rnacentral:rRNA from 1 species
UACGGGGGGGGCAAGCGUUGUUCGGAAUUACUGGGCGUAAAGGGCUCGUAGGUGGCCAACUAAGUCGGACGUGAAAUCCCUCGGCUUAACCGGGGAACUGCGUCCGAUACUGGAUGGCUUGAGUUUGGGAGAGGGAUGCGGAAUUCCAGGUGUAGCGGUGAAAUGCGUAGAUAUCUGGAGGAACACCGGUGGCGAAGGCGGCAUCCUGGACCGACACUGACACUGAGGAGCGAAAGCCAGGGGAGCAAACGGG